UCAAGUUACGAUAUUUACAGU
rnacentral:piRNA from 1 species